GUCAAGCCACAGAUUCCACUCAUUUCCUGAGGUAGCCAAGACAGGGUUUUUACCGCUAUGAGUCACCACCCUCAUGCCUCCAAGGCCUAGUGCAAAGACGAGCGCAUGUGGAAUGUGGUGAAUGACGUCAUCACUGCUGUUCAUUCUCACUGUCCAGAAAUGGCUCCAGGCUGAGUUGCACCCUCAAAGCUUUCCUCUGUUUCACCUCUGUUCAGACCCAAUGCAGGCCCCUUGCAGCCCAGAGGAAUAAAGAGAUGCCUAGAAAGAGGCCGUGGCCACUUGUUCUCUUUUGUUUUCUUCACUGCGGAGGACUGAGCAAGCCCACUAUCUGAGCAAUGUGGAAAUUCCAGCCCUCACAGGGCUUCACACCUUCAAGGGGAAGAACAUUGCGCCAUGAAACUUCCUUGCUCUAGGCCUGCCAGGAAGUUCAGUGAUGGAGCUGAGGAAAAGUGCGGCAGGCUGGCAGCAGGCCUUGUGACGACACAGCGGGGAAACCACAGGAUUCUGCAUUCUUCUGACCACAAGAGGAAGAGUUGAAAGAUCACCUGGACCACUCCAUUCAGUUUACAGAAGACGACACUGAGGUCUCGAGUGAGGGAUUAAGUACCCAAGAUGUCACAGCAGAUAAUGGCAGAGUCAUGAUUUCUAACAAACAAACAGAAGAAGCAAGUCCCCUGCCUGUCGUCAGCCGGAGCCCCUCUGCUACGCCUGCUCCCCUGUUUCCCAUGGACUGCCUCAUCUUUUGCCUCUAGUUUGAGCCUGAAAGUUACACCUCCAAUGAAUGAAACUCACAGGAUCAUUGGCAUCCAGUCUUCCUCCUCCACACCCACUCUCGGCCACCUGCCCUUCUCAUCCACAGGUGGGAGCAAAGCUUGGUCAACCUGAUAGGCCUCUUCCAGGCAGGGACAGGAGAAGGGACGGCACAGCAGCUCUGAGUCAGGACUCCUUUCGGUAAGGCGUGGCCGCCAGGAAGGCCUGAGAGAAGGAAACCAGCCCAGGUGCGCUCUGUUUACCUUCUCGGCUCACAAACAUGACCAGACCCUCCUUGGCUGGCUGGAUGAAGUCCCAGCCACUUAGUCCAGCCCUCGAGCCUCUCCCAUUCCAGCCACAGUCUGCCUGGCCAGUUCCAUCCCCCUACGGCUUUCCUGGUGUACCACACCAUCCUCGGAUUGCAGCUCGCCCUCUUGGGCCUUUCUGGCCUAGCAGGUGCUGUUCCUUCAGCUCCAAUGCCCUUCCCUGCCUCUCCACCCGGCAAGCUCCUUCUCUUUGUAUCUUCUGCACUAACACUUCCCUCCUCCCUCCCCUUCCCCUCUUUUUCCUUUGUGCCCCGGUGGCACUUCUGAGACAAUGUUACAAGCAUAAUAAAAUAACAAAAUCAU
rnacentral:lncRNA from 1 species